CGGGGUGUAGCGCAGCUUGGCAGCGCGCUUCGUUCGGGACGAAGAGGUCGUGGGUUCAAAUCCCGCCACCCCGACC
rnacentral:tRNA from 1 species